UAAGUACCCCCUCCGUCCCAAAAUUCUUAUCUUAGAUUUGUUUAAAAAUAGAUGUGUUAAAAUACUAAAAUAUGACUAGAUAUAUUCAUAUUUAAACAAAUAUAGGAUAAACAUUUUGGGACAGAGGAAAUAGUUG
rfam:Hordeum vulgare subsp. vulgare, WGS project CAJW01000000 data, contig: morex_contig_1600579